GGGGCUGACAUGGAUUUGACAGCAGGAUGAGGUGUUGUGUAAGCACGCAGAGAGUCGGCAGUCGCUCUCUAUAAUCAAUGGCUUUCAAAGAUUAUCUGGCGAAAAUAAUUACGCUCUCGCUGCCUAACUGAAGUACAGUAGGUUACUGGCUUAAUCCUGACACCAGGUGUCGGGACGAGAUGUCACUCAACGAGCCCUUUCUCCGAGGCGCAUUGAUAUAGUGGCACAGCGAAAAUCGGGGAUAGUUGCCUGUGGCCUCGCGCAGGUGAUGACAUCAUAGAGGAUAAGGUGCAAAUGGGUGGUCCAGGUCUUGUUUGCACACGAAAACCGAAGUCUGGAAUAAGCGUGUAGAAAGCACAGUGCGUCCCUGUUUGGACGAGGGUUCAAUCCCCUCCAGCUCCACU
rnacentral:tmRNA from 1 species